GCGCACUUUAUGAUUCCGAGCAAAGGUUAAAAUGGACAAGAAGGUGCUGUUGUAAAAUGGAGAAUUGAGAAGCAUUAAUAGCCUCUACAACAAGGAGAUAAUGCAGGAACGACGAACUCAUGUCAAGCAUUGACAGCAUACAAAGUCAAUGUUUCCGGUGAUUAGUUGCUCCUCUGUUCGGUGAUUCGGGUGAAUGUUUUGACCAGCUGGACGAUGUGAACGCAAGAUAAAUAGAACAGACAUAAAGUACAGCCCAGUGAAAGGAACAAGUUCAUCGCAAGAAGAAGAAUUUUAAUGCUACCACUGUCCAGAACUAUUAAGUCUGCUGUAACCAUGAUGUGAUCAUAUGAGUGCUUCACCGGUCUGGACAAUGCUCGAAAAUACCCCCAAAAGGCCUAUUUCCAUAAACUACGACUCGGGUUACAUCAACAACAGCCAAGGACACUCCUUAUUGAUUCGAAUGGACACAUCUCUACGACCCGACUAAACUUCUGCAGAACAAGACUUUUUAACUGUAAAGUAUUCUCAUUUCAAAAAACCUAUAAACUAUAAAAGUACUUUUUUUAUAUGAUCAAAUACCAGUAUAUUACAAUGUCUGUCUGUAAGCUAGAA